rnacentral:rRNA from 1 species
UACGUAGGUGGCUAGCGUUGUCCGGAUUUACUGGGCGUAAAGAGCGCGCAGGCGGUCGUUCAAGUCGAGUGUGAAAGCCCCCGGCUCAACUGGGGAGGGUCACUCGAUACUGAUCGACUCGAAGGCAGGAGAGGGAAGCGGAAUUCCCGGUGUAGUGGUGAAAUGCGUAGAUAUCGGGAGGAACACCAGUGGCGAAGGCGGGUCUCUGGGCCGAUACUGACGCUGAGGAGCGAAAGCGUGGGGAGCGAACAGG